rnacentral:tRNA from 1 species
GCCCCUGUAGCUCAAUGGAUAGAGUAAGUCUCUUCUAAGGACCUGAUGCAGGUUCGAUUCCUGCCAGGGGCA